rnacentral:lncRNA from 1 species
CAGCCUCUUAAGUGCUAGGAUUACAAAUGUUAGCCUCCACUACUGGUGAGAGAGUCCUCUUUCCUCUUUUAAUCUCUCCCUCUCCUCUCUCUUCCACUAUGCCUUUCUUUCUUCCUUCCUGUCCUGGGAAUUGACCCUUUGGCCCCAUGCACCAGGUAAGUGCUCUACCACUGAGCUACGUUCCCAGCCCUUUCUAUUUUCUUAUUUCAGCACAGAUUCUCGUUGAAUUGCCCAAGCUGGCCUUAAUUUGUGAUCCUCCUGUCUCAGAUUUCUAAGUGGCUAUAAUUACAAGCCUGCACCAUCAGACUCAGUGUUUGAAAUGAAAAUGAUCUUUCCUUCUACCCACUCUUUCUUUCUUUCUCUCUCUCUUUCUUUCUUUCUCUUUCUUUCUUCUUUCCUUCCUUCCCUUCCUCCUUCCUUCCUUCCUUCCUUCCUUCCUUUCUUUCUUUCUCUUUCUUUCUUCUUUCCUUCCUUCCCUUCCUCCUUCCUUCCUUCCUUCCUUCCUUCCUUCCUUUCUUUCUUUCUUUCUUUCUUUCUCUUUCUUCUUUCCUUCCUUCCCUUCCUCCUUCCUUUCUUUCUCUCUCUUCCUUCCUUCCCUCUC